rnacentral:rRNA from 1 species
UGGGGAAUAUUGGACAAUGGGGGCAACCCUGAUCCAGCAAUGCCGCGUGUGUGAAGAAGGCCUUCGGGUUGUAAAGCACUUUAGGCUGGGAGGAAGGUGAUUAGUUUAAGAGAUGAAUCACUUGACUGUACCGGCAGAAUAAGCACCGGCUAACUCUGUGCCAGCAGCCGCGGUAAUACAGAGGGUGCGAGCGUUAAUCGGAGUUACUGGGCGUAAAGGGCGCGUAGGCGGUUAGUUAAGAUAGAUGUGAAAUCCCUGGGCUUAACCUAGGAACUGCAUCUGUUACUGAUUAGCUGGAGUAUUGUAGAGGGUAGUGGAAUUUCCGGUGUAGCGGUGAAAUGCGUAGAGAUCGGAAGGAACACCAGUGGCGAAGGCGACUACCUGGACAAAUACUGACGCUGAGGCGCGAGAGCGUGGGGAGCAAACAGGAUUAGAUACCCCCGUAGUCC